ACCACCGAAGUUGCGGCAUUGACAUUUUUGGUAGGCCUUCGUGGUCCAGCCGUGUUGAUGGGUAGGAGAGCGUCGUGUGGCGAGUGAAGCGGCAGAGUGAUCUAGCCGUGGACGCCACACGAGUGAGAAUGCAGGCAUGAGUAGCGAAAGACGUGUGAGAAACACGUCCUCCGAAAGACCAAGGGUUCCAGGGUCAAGCUAAUCUUCCCUGGGUAAGUCGGGACCUAAGGCGAGGCCGACAGGCGUAGUCGAUGGACAACGGGUUGAUAUUCCCGUACCGGCGAAGAACCGUCCCAACCAAUCCAGUGGUGCUAAGCGCCCGAAUCCAUUCACCGUCACCUUCGGGUGACACCGGAUGGCCUAGCGCGCGACCCCAUGCUGGUGCGGUUAGCGUAUUAACAGGUGUGACGCAGGAAGGCAGCCCAGCCAGGCGAUGGUAGUCCUGGUCCAAGUGCGUAGCCCGAGUCCUAGGCAAAUCCGGGACUCAUAACGGGUGAGACACGAUGGGAAUAAAAAGUGGGUGAUCCUCUGCUGCCAAGAAAAGCAUCGACGCGAGGUUCAAGCCGCCCGUACCCCAAACCGACUCAGGUGGUCAGGUAGAGAAUACCAAGGAGAUCGAGAUAAUCGUGGUUAAGGAACUCGGCAAAAUGCCCCCGUAACUUCGGGAGAAGGGGGGCCCGCCACUUACUAGGUUUUACACCGAAAGGGUGUGUGGGCCGCAGAGACCAGUGGGGAACGACUGUUUACUAAAAACACAGGUCCGUGCGAAGUUGCAAGACGAUGUAUACGGACUGACGCCUGCCCGGUGCCGGAAGGUUAAGAGGACGAGUUAGCCCUUGGGCGAAGCUUUGAAUUUAAGCCCCGGUAAACGGCGGUGGUAACUAUAACCAUCCUAAGGUAGCGAAAUUCCUUGUCGGGUAAGUUCCGACCUGCACGAAUGGCGUAACGAUUCCCCAGCUGUCUCAACCACGAACUCGGCGAAAUUGCAUUACGAGUAAAGAUGCUCGUUACGCGCAGCAGGACGGAAAGACCCCGUGACCUUUACUACAGCUUGGUAUUGGUGUUCUGUGUGGCCUGUGUAGGAUAGGUGGGAGACUAUGAAGCCCGGACGCCAGUUCGGGUGGAGUCAUUGUUGAAAUACCACUCUGGUCAUUUGGAGCAUCUAACUUCGGACCGUAAUCCGGUUCAGGGACAGUGCCUGGUGGGUAGUUUAACUGGGGCGGUUGCCUCCCAAAGAGUAACGGAGGCGCCCAAAGGUUCCCUCAACCUGGUUGGCAAUCAGGUGGCGAGUGUAAGUGCACAAGGGAGCUUGACUGUGAGACUGACAGGUCGAGCAGGGACGAAAGUCGGGACUAGUGAUCCGGCAGUGGCUUGUGGAAGCGCUGUCGCUCAACGGAUAAAAGGUACCUCGGGGAUAACAGGCUGAUCUUGCCCAAGAGUCCAUAUCGACGGCAUGGUUUGGCACCUCGAUGUCGGCUCGUCGCAUCCUGGGGCUGGAGUAGGUCCCAAGGGUUGGGCUGUUCGCCCAUUAAAGCGGUACGCGAGCUGGGUUUAGAACGUCGUGAGACAGUUCGGUCCCUAUCCGCUGCGCGCGUUGGAAGUUUGAGAGGAUCUGACCCUAGUACGAGAGGACCGGGUUGGACGAACCUCUGGUGUGCCAGUUGUCCUGCCAAGGGCACGGCUGGUUGGCUACGUUCGGGAUGGAUAACCGCUGAAAGCAUCUAAGCGGGAAGCCGGCCUCAAGAUGAGACUUCCAUGAACCUCGGUUCGAGAGGCUCCCAGCAGAUUACUGGGUUGAUAGGCCAGACGUGGAAGCACAGCAAUGUGUGCAGCUGACUGGUACUAAUAAGCCGACGACUUACAAAC
rnacentral:rRNA from 1 species